GACAUAGGUGGCGAACGUUAUCCGGAUUUAUUGGGCGUAAAGAGCUUGUAGGCGGUCUGUCGCGUCUGCUGUGAAAAUCCGGGGCUCAACCCCGGACUUGCAGUGGGUACGGGCAGACUAGAGUGUGGUAGGGGAGACUGGAAUUCCUGGUGUAGCGGUGAAAUGCGCAGAUAUCAGGAGGAACACCGAUGGCGAAGGCAGGUCUCUGGGCCACUACUGACGCUGAGAAGCGAAAGCGUGGGGAGCGAACAGG
rnacentral:rRNA from 1 species